rnacentral:rRNA from 1 species
GCUUGUCUCAAAGAUUAAGCCAUGCAUGUCUAAGUAUAACUCUUUUACUUUGAAAACUGCGAACGGCUCAUUAUAUCAGUUAUAGUUUCUUUGAUAGUCCCUUACUACUUGGAUACCCGUAGUAAUUCUAGAGCUAAUACAUGCGACAAUUCCGGUAGUAAUAUCGGAAUGCUUUUAUUAGAUCAAAACCUUCUAGUUCCUUCACCGGAACUGUUUGUUGGUGACUCUAAAUAACUUUGUGUUGAUCGUAUGACCUUUGUGUCGACGACAUAUCUUUCAAGUGUCUGACUUAUCAACUUUAGACGGUACAUUAUAUGUCUACCGUGGUUGUAACGAGUACAGAGAAUCAGGGUUUGGUUCUGGAGAGGCCGCCUGAGAAACGGCGACCACUUCCAAGGAAGGCAGCAGG